rnacentral:rRNA from 1 species
GUGCCAGCCGCCGCGGUAAUUCCAGCUCCAAUAGCAUAUAUUAAAGUUGUUGCGAUUAAAACGCCCGUAGUUGGAUCAGCGGAUUUGGAGAACGGUCUGCCGAUGGGCUGUACUGUUCUCCUGUCCUAUUUUCUCUAGUUCGCUCUAGGUGCUCUUCACUGAGUGUCUAGAGUGGCUGGAACUUUUACUUUGAAAAAAUUAGAGUGCUCAAAGCAGGCGUCUCAGCCUGAAUAGUGGUGCAUGGAAUAAUGGAAUAGGACCUCAGUUCUAUUUUGUUGGUUUUCGGAGCAUGAGGUAAUGAUUAAGAGGGACAGACGGGGGCAUUCGUAUUGCGACGUUAGAGGUGAGAUUCUUGGAUCGUCGCAAGACGAACUACUGCGAAAGCAUUUGCCAAGAAUGUUUUCAUUAAUCAAGGACGAUAGUUAGAGGUUCGAAGGCGAUCAGAUACCGCCCUAGUUCUAACCGUAAACGAUGUCAACCAGCGAUCCGCAGGAGUUAUUCAUGACUCUGCGGGCAGCUUCCGGGAAACCAAAGUUUUUGGAUUCCGGGGGGAGUAUGGUUGCAAAGUUGAAACUCAAAGGAAUUGACGG